AUCCAGUUGACAAGUCCCAAAUAGGACGAGAUGCCCAUCCUGCAU
rnacentral:hammerhead_ribozyme from 1 species